GAGGGGGCAGAACUCGAGGGAUUCGCUGGUGGGACAGCGAGGGUCUCAGCACUGGCCAUGCCCAGGCUUUGACAGCUGGAUGAGGAGGGAGCCCUCAGUCCCAACCCUAUGGGAACAGCUUGGCCAAGCGGGACAGAGAAGGGGCUGUGGCCCUGGUGGGGAGAGUGGAGGGGCCUACUCAGCAGUCAGCCAGGCUCUGGUGGGGGUGGCCAACCACAGGAGAGGGACACAGAGGUACCAGAAAAAGCCUCUGCCACAGCUGCUUGAGAGUCAGGGUUUGGCAGGGGAAGAUGGUAGGAGGACAGCUGCCCCACCCUGUGGUGUGAUGGGUGCUGGAAAUGGAGCCUGGGGCCCAGGUCACUAAUAAAUGUGUGUCUCACCAUGGCAGGAGUGGCACUGCUCUGUCUGCAGCAUGGGAUGGGGAGGGCAUCAGGACCUCUGAAUCGCUCUCGGCUGGGACAGGGAGUAGGACCUAAGUUCCUGCCCCUCUAUGGACCCUCAGCAUACAGAUGGUCAGGGAACCUGGGCUCCAUGCCACCUGCUUCCUUCAAUGCUAGCCCUGUGGUGGCCAGGCUGCCCCUCACUUCCCUCACGAGCCCUGCUGUGGCUUUUGGGGAGUCCCAGAUGGGAGCCUUGAGCUUCCCUAGUGGAGCAGUGGCUGAGCCGGGCUGACUCUAGUGAAAUGAGCAGAGAGUUUGAAUCUGG
rnacentral:lncRNA from 1 species